rnacentral:snoRNA from 1 species
AUAUAGCAUUUAAAGCACCCCGCUAAAAUUGUCGGGGGUGAAGCCUCUGGGCUUGACCCUUGCGGGCAUGUGAGCAUGGGUACACCAAAGGAAGAGAAGUGAAGGCAGCGCCGCCAACGAGACUAGGGCGAGCCAUUUACUGUCCGGUGUCUUGUGUCUCAAGGUUCUGUGCUACAAUC